rnacentral:rRNA from 1 species
GUGGGGAAUAUUGGACAAUGGGCGCAAGCCUGAUCCAGCCAUGCCGCGUGAGUGAUGAAGGCCUUAGGGUUGUAAAGCUCUUUCAGUGGGGACGAUAAUGACGAUACCCACAGAAGAAGCCCCGGCUAACUUCGUGCCAGCAGCCGCGGUAAUACGAAGGGGGCUAGCGUUGUUCGGAUUUACUGGGCGUAAAGCGCACGUAGGCGGAUCGUUAAGUCGGGGGUGAAAUCCUGGAGCUCAACUCCAGAACUGCCUUCGAUACUGGCGAUCUUGAGGCCGGAAGAAGUGAGUGGAACUCCUAGUGUAGAGGUGGAAUUCGGAGAUAUUAGGAAGAACACCAGUGGCGAAGGCGGCUCACUGGUCCGGUACUGACGCUGAGGUGCGAAAGCGUGGGGAGCAAACAGGAUUAGAAACCCUAGUAGUCC